rnacentral:rRNA from 1 species
UACGUAGGGGGCAAGCGUUGUCCGGAAUCAUUGGGCGUAAAGAGCGUGUAGGCGGCCAGAUAAGUCCGCUGUGAAAUCUCGAGGCUCAACUUCGAGCUGUCGGUGGAAACUGUCUGGCUAGAGUCCGGAAGAGGAGAAUGGAAUUCCUGGUGUAGCGGUGAAAUGCGCAGAUAUCAGGAAGAACACCCGUGGCGAAGGCGGUUCUCUGGGCAGUAACUGACGCUGAGGAGCGAAAGCGUGGGGAGCGAACAGG